AGGGGCAGAGACAGAUCUGUGUAAUGACAGAUUAGAAGCAUGUAUUGGGUGGACUAGCCGGGGUUUCUGUCAACAUCCUUCCUAUAUAAAUUACAUGACUAGAAAUUGCAGGAAGUCAUGCGGUGUGUGUUCAAUAUUAAAAGGAGCUUGCGAAGAUGAACACAAUUCGUGUGAAUAUUGGUCCAAGUUGAGAUACUGUGAAACUGGACUUUACAAACCAUAUGUUGAAAAAGUGUGUAAAAAGUCGUGUAGAUUUUGUUAAGGUACAAUGCGAUAUUGACGAAGUGAAAAAAGGUGGACUACGCCAGACUGUCACUGAACAAAUUAU